AUUGAACGCUGGCGGCAGGCUUAACACAUGCAAGUCGAACGAGUGGCGGACGGGUGAGUAAUGCUUGGGAAUCUAGCUUAUGGAGGGGGAUAACUACGGGAAACUGUAGCUAAUACCGCGUACCAUAGGAUGAGCCCAAGUGGGAUUAGGUAGUUGGUGAGGUAAAGGCUCACCAAGCCGACGAUCUCUAGCUGGUCUGAGAGGAUGACCAACCACACUCGCACUUAAAAGCGCCCCAGACUCCUACGCAAUCCAUCAUUGUGGAAUAUUGCGCAAUGGGGGCAACCUGACGCAGCCAUGCCGCGUGAAUGAAGAAGGCCUUCGGGUUGUAAAGUUCUUUCGGUAGCGAGGCGUUAACUACAGAAGAAGCACCGGCUAACUCCGUGCCAGCAGCCGCGGUAAUAC
rnacentral:rRNA from 1 species